AUGCCAGUACGGCCCCCUUUUCAAGAUAUUACAAAUGUGGUUGACUCACAUAGUUUAUCAAAAGGGAAACAAGCACAAAAAGUUCUUGGUUCAGUGGAUCAUCCAAUUACUGGGACAAAACGAUUGAUCAAUCCAUCUGGCAUAUCCAUACAGUCAAAUACUCCUUCGACUGGACACGUAAGUCUACCAACAGAAGCUUCCGAGCAUAAGCGUUAUCAUGACCGGGAAAGAUACUUGGAGAUGACUCUAGAACAGCGCACUGCCUACCUGGAAAGAAACCGUGAGUACAAACGGAGAAGGAAAAAUCCUGCUGCAGUUAGUGAUAAUGCACAAUCUGGGAGUCAAACUUGUACUUCUACCACCAGUUCAAUUACAGAAGGUUGA
rnacentral:rRNA from 1 species